rnacentral:misc_RNA from 1 species
UGCUUCUUGAUGCAGAGGAGAAGUCUGCCUUGAAUAAUCAGGUCAAGCUCUGGCUCGGAAAGCUAAAAGAAGUUGUUUAUGAUGCUGAUGACUUGCUGGAUGACUUCUCCACCGAAGCUUUGCGUCGCCAAGUAAUGGGAGGAAAUAAAGUUUCGAAGGAGGUAUGCCUUUUCUUUUCACCAUCCAAUCGAAUUGUUUAUGGUUAUAAGAUGGGUCAUAGGAUUAAGGCAAUUAGGGAGAGGCUGGAUGCCAUUGCCAAAGAUAGGCAAGACUACCACCUUGAUCUUGUGGAGCGCUUCAGAGAGGCGCCAUUUUUAAGUAGGGGAAGGGACCAAACUAUCUCAUAUGUAGGUGAGGAAGAAGUCAUUGGGAGGGAUGAUGAUAAGAAGAAAAUUCUAGAACUUCUAUUUGACUCCAACACUGAAGAUAAUGUUUCAGUGAUUCCAAUUGUUGGAAUUGGAGGAUUAGGGAAAACCAAAUUGGCUCAAUUGGUUUAUAGUAAUAAGAAUGUUACAGAAAAAUUUGAGUUGAAAAUGUGGGUUUGUGUAUCUGAUGUCUUUGAUAUAAAAGUAAUUGUGGAAAAGGUUAUAAAAUCUUUGACUCGUAAGGAACCAGGAAACCUUGAGUUGGAUCAAUUGCAAAGUGAUCUAAGAGAAAGAAUUGAAGGAAAGAAAUAUUUGUUAGUGUUGGAUGAUGUUUGGAAUGAAGAUCUUCAAAAAUGGACUGAUUUAAAGGCAUUAUUGACGUGUGGUGCAAGAGGAAGUAGGAUCUUAGUGACCACUCGUUCCGAAAUGGUUGCAGCAAUAACUAGUGGCAAAAAGACACAUUAUUCUCUAAAGGGCUUAGAUCUAGAUAAGUCUUGGUCUUUGUUUAAGAAAAUAGUGUUCGAGGGGAAAGAGCCAGAGAGUCCAAAAGUGAAAGAUAUUGGAGAGCAGAUUAUAAAGAAAUGUGGUGGAGUUCCCCUUGCAAUAAAGAC